AGUGGGAUAGCUGGGUCAAAUGGUGGUUCCAUUCCCAGUUUUCCAAGAAAUAUUCAUACUGCUUUCCAUGUUGGCUGUACCAAUUUGCAGUCCCACCAGCAAU
rnacentral:pre_miRNA from 1 species